AGAGUUUGAUCCUGGCUCAGAAUGAACGCUAGCGGCGUGCUUAACACAUGCAAGUCGUACGAGAACUCUUUAGCUUGCUAAAGAUAGUAAAGUGGCGCACGGGUGAGUAACGCGUGGGUAAUUUACCUCUGAAUUUGGGAUAACUCCGCGAAAGCGGGGCUAAUACCGGAUAAUAUUUCAGGAUCUUCGGGUUUUGAAAUCAAAAGUGGCCUCUACAUGUAAGCUACUGUUUGGAGAUGAGCCCGCGUACCAUUAGCUUGUUGGUAGGGUAAUGGCCUACCAAGGCUACGAUGGUUAGCUGGUCUGAGAGGAUGAUCAGCCACACUGGAACUGACACACGGUCCAGACUCCUACGGGAGGCAGCAGUGGGGAAUUUUGCGCAAUGGGGGAAACCCUGACGCAGCAACGCCGCGUGAGUGAUGAAGGCUUUCGGGUCGUAAAGCUCUGUCAAGUGGGAAGAACAUGAGAAAUGUUAAUAUCAUUUUUCACUGACGGUACCACUGAAGGAAGCACCGGCUAACUCCGUGCCAGCAGCCGCGGUAAUACGGGGGGUGCAAGCGUUAUUCGGAAUUAUUGGGCGUAAAGGGCGCGUAGGCGGUCUUUUAAGUCAGAUGUGAAAGCCCGGGGCUUAACCCCGGAAGUGCAUUUGAAACUGAAAGACUUGAGUAUGGGAGAGGGAAGUGGAAUUCCUGGUGUAGAGGUGAAAUUCGUAGAUAUCAGGAGGAACGCCGGUGGCGAAGCGACUUCCUGGACCAAUACUGACGCUGAGGCGCGAAGGCGUGGGGAGCAAACAGGAUUAGAUACCCUGGUAGUCCACGCAGUAAACGAUGAACACUAGGUGUAGCGGGUAUUGACCCCUGCUGUGCCGCAGUUAACGCAUUAAGUGUUCCGCCUGGGGGAGUACGACCGCAAGGUUAAAACUCAAAGGAAUUGACGG
rnacentral:rRNA from 1 species